rnacentral:rRNA from 1 species
UACUCGAGUGGCGAACGGGUGAGUAACACGUGGGUGAUCUGCCCUGCACUUCGGGAUAAGCUUGGGAAACUGGGUCUAAUACCGGAUAGGGGCCAUCUUUAGUGUGGUGGUUGGAAAGUUUUUUCGGUGUAGGAUGAGCUCGCGGCCUAUCAGCUUGUUGGUGGGGUAAUGGCCUACCAAGGCGGCGACGGGUAGCCGGCCUGAGAGGGUGUACGGCCACAUUGAGACUGAGAUACGGCCCAG